rnacentral:rRNA from 1 species
AUGAACGCUGGCGGCGUGCUUAACACAUGCAAGUCGAACGGAAAGGCUCCUGCUUGCAGGGGUACUCGAGUGGCGAACGGGUGAGUAACACGUGGGUGAUCUGCCCUGCACUUCGGGAUAAGCCUGGGAAACUGGGUCUAAUACCGGAUAGGACGAUGGUUUGGAUGCCAUUGUGGAAAGUUUUUCGGUGUGGGAUGAGCUCGCGGCCUAUCAGCUUGUUGGUGGGGUAAUGGCCUACCAAGGCGUCGACGGGUAGCCGGCCUGAGAGGGUGUACGGCCACAUUGGGACUGAGAUACGGCCCAGACUCCUACGGGAGGCAGCGGUGGGGAAUAUUGCACAAUGGGCGCAAGCCUGAUGCAGCGACGCCGCGUGGGGGAUGACGGCCUUCGGGUUGUAAACUCCUUUCGCUAGGGACGAAGCGUUUUGUGACGGUACCUGGAGAAGAAGCACCGGCUAACUACGUG